UAAGUGAAUGCUUUGCCACAGUCUUAGACAUUGUAAGCUGGGCUGAGGUUCGCUUAGGC
rnacentral:pre_miRNA from 1 species